rnacentral:rRNA from 1 species
GAUGAACGCUGGUGGCGUGCCUAAUACAUGCAAGUCGAGCGAAUGGAUUAAGAGCUUGCUCUUAUGAAGUUAGCGGCGGACGGGUGAGUAACACGUGGGUAAUCUGCCCAUAAGACUGGGAUAACUCCGGGAAACCGGGGCUAAUACCGGAUAACAUUUUGAACCGCAUGGUUCGAAAUUGAAAGGCGGCUUCGGCUGUCACUUAUGGAUGGACCCGCGUCGCAUUAGCUAGUUGGUGAGGUAACGGCUCACCAAGGCAACGAUGCGUAGCCGACCUGAGAGGGUGAUCGGCCACACUGGGACUGAGACACGGCCCAGACGCCUACGGGAGGCAGCAGUAGGGAAUCUUCCGCAAUGGACGAAAGUCUGACGGAGCAACGCCGCGUGAGUGAUGAAGGCUUUCGGGUCGUAAAACUCUGUUGUUAGGGAAGAACAAGUGCUAGUUGAAUAAGCUGGCACCUUGACGGUACCUAACCAGAAAGCCACGGCUGACUACGUGCCAGCAGCCGCGGUAA